rnacentral:rRNA from 1 species
UACGGGGGGGGCAAGCGUUGUUCGGAAUUACUGGGCGUAAAGGGCUCGUAGGCGGCCAACUAAGUCGGACGUGAAAUCCCCAGGCUCAACCGGGGAACUGCGUCUGAUACUGGAUGGCUAGAGUUUGGGAGAGGGAUGCGGAAUUCCAGGUGUAGCGGUGAAAUGCGUAGAUAUCUGGAGGAACACCGGUGGCGAAGGCGGCAUCCUGGACCAACACUGACGCUGAGGUGCGAAAGCGUGGGGAGCAAACAGG